UACGGAGGGUGCGGGCGUUGUCCGGAUUUAUUGGGUUUAAAGGGUGCGUAGGUGGCUUUUUAAGUCAGUGGUGAAAUACAGCCGCUCAACGGUUGAGGUGCCAUUGAUACUGAAGAGCUUGAAACAAGUGGAGGCUGCCGGAAUGGAUGGUGUAGCGGUGAAAUGCAUAGAUAUCAUCCAGAACACCGAUUGCGAAGGCAGGUGGCUACGUUUGAUUUGACACUGAGGCACGAAAGCAUGGGGAGCAAACAGG
rnacentral:rRNA from 1 species